UGUAUGGCCUAAAAAAGCCACUUUCUGCACAAAAUGUAAAUGAAGUGUUGGCUUAUCUUGAAAAAGCCAAACAAUAUACAUAUAUUGGGAUUGACCAUAUUUAUAAAGUACAGAAGAGUUCUUCGUAAACGCAUCACAAUGCAGAUUGUAAAGAAAAAAGUUGUGGAAUCAAAAAAUAAAACUGGGUUUUUAGGCUUCCUUGUGUGUAUCGAGAGAUUAAAUCACUUGUAUGCAACGUUGAUACAGGAGGAGCAACGCUUAAGGUACAUUGCAACAUAAAGACUAUCCCAAGGUCAUAUUGAAAUUCUAUUCGGUGUUAUUGUUAUUAUCAUACAUAUUCCUAAUAAUAGCUCUGGUAGCUAUCCAGAAGGUACCUAGUUCUACCAACCAAGAAGUACGUAGGCAUAAAUAUACAUAUAUUAUACUCAGCUCGGGGAUUUUUCAAAACAAUCUUUUUCAUUUUUGCAGUAUUUUGAUGACACUUUAUUCUUAAUCUAUACAAUUAACUUUAUAGAUAUUAAUUUAAAACAGAAAGACGCUUUACAUUUAAGUAAUCACGUAUUUAUUGCAAUUAAAACAGAGCGCGACACUUCACCACGAAAUUAUUGUCCGGUACUGAUUUAAAGUAAACAAACACGGCGGUCAACAAACGAGGUCCGAUAUUCCACCACCAGGACCUCUACACAAGGACCAGUGAAAGUGCUACUUGGACCUACAUUAGACUGAAUAGAAAAUCCCUACGAUUCCGAUAUUCAGUUUAUAGAUCACUAACUGGAUCAAAAAAAUAUAUAGAAAUUUUUACCAAUACAGUAAGUUUAAAAUUUAAAUUCACUGUCAUAAUAACUCUCAUUCUGAAAUUCAUUGCAAAGUCUAUAGAAGUCAUCGCCUCUCAAAAUACAUUAUUUUUAUUUAUUUACUAGGAUAUUGUAGCGACUCAGAAUACAGACAAAUCUGGAUGUAAAUGCUGCUACUUCUUUACAAACAUCUCAGGAUUCCACUCAAGAAGAUAAAGGUUGUACAUUGCCAACAAAUGAAAUCAGAGAUGACAAUAUUUCAACUGAGGUGUGUAGAAAUACUUGUCUUAUAGGUCCUGACCAAUAUGUUAACGACGGCUCCACACGUUGGCCCCAACGCUCGUUCCAACGCAAUUCGUCCAACUUGUGGAUCUAGAAAAUGACAUUGGUCCCAACGUUGGGGCGAGCGUUGGUAGUUGGCCGUCUCGUGUCGGUUUUAUCAAUGGAAUCUGCGCGCCAACGUUGGCGAUCUGUCCACACGUUGGCGCUUUGCUCAGUUCUGCUUACAACACGCAGCGAGUGCGUACGUCAAGUAAAAAUGUCUUCCUCAUCCAGCUAAUCGCCACCGGCAUGGACAAAUGAGAAAGUGAUACAAUUUCUAGAAUUAUAUCAAGCACACCCCAUAAUAUGUAAAGACCACAAAAAAUAAAAAUUUAGUAGCUGAUGCACGGCGAACCAUUCAACAUAAUAUGGGAAAUAAUUUCACAAUUGAAGAUUUAAGAAAAAGCGAGAGUCAUUAAUGAGCACAUAUCGUCUUUACAGAAAAAAAAAAAUUACGCAUGGCAAGAGGCAAGAGGUUGCUGAGAAUUGUUUUGAAGAUUGGAACAAUUUGAACAACGAAGACAAAGAAAUGAAAAUACAAUUUCUGCUAAAAAAAUGGAAAGCCGUAAGAGAUUACUACAUGCGUGAAAAAAAAAAGAAAACGAUGAAAGAAGUGGUAGCGCAGCAAAGAAGAAGAAAGUUU